rnacentral:rRNA from 1 species
CGACGUAGGUAACCUGCCUGGUAGCGGGGGAUAACUAUUGGAAAGAUAGCUAAUACCGCAUAAGAGUAGAUGUUGCAUGACAUUUGCUUAAAAGGUGCAAUUGCAUUACUACCAGAUGGACCUGCGUUGUAUUAGCUAGUUGGUGGGGUAACGGCUCACCAAGGCGACGAUACAUAGCCGACCUGAGAGGGUGAUCGGCCACACUGGGACUGAGACACGGCCCAG